rnacentral:snRNA from 1 species
UUCAGCCCGGCAAACAAGACCCUGAGACCUUGAACAAUUGGGACGAUACAGAGAAGUUUAGCAUGGCCCCUGCGCAAGGAUGACACGCACACACCGAGAAUCGUGCCGAAACAUU